rnacentral:rRNA from 1 species
UACGUAGGUGGCAAGCGUUGUCCGGAUUUACUGGGCGUAAAGAGCGCGCAGGCGGUCGAGUAAGUCGAAUGUGAAAGCCCCCGGCUCAACUGGGGAGGGUCAUUCGAUACUGUUCGACUUGAAGGCAGGAGAGGGCAGCAGAAUUCCCGGUGUAGUGGUGAAAUGCGUAGAUAUCGGGAGGAAUACCAGUGGCGAAGGCGGCUGCCUGGCCUGUUCUUGACGCUGAGGCGCGAAAGCUGGGGGAGCAAACGGG